GAGUCCCAGGGGGGGAGGCCAAUGCACCACAAAUGUAAUGGCGUCCAAGGGAGGGGCAAUCCCCCAUCCCUCCAAGAGCCCACCACUCAGAGACAGUCUCAAGUAAAAAGAUGAAUUUAUUGGGGAAGU